GUCGAGCGGACUUUAAAAGCUUGCUUUUAAAGUUAGCGGCGGACGGGUGAGUAACACGUGGGCAACCUGCCUGUAAGACUGGGAUAACUUCGGGAAACCGGAGCUAAUACCGGAUAAUCCUUUUCCUCUCAUGAGGAAAAGCUGAAAGACGGCAUCUCGCUGUCACUUACASAUGGGCCCGCGGCGCAUUARCUAGUUGGUGAGGUAACGGCUCACCAAGGCAACRAUGCGUASCCAACCUGARAGGGUGAUCGGCCACACUGGGACUGARACMCGGCCCAAACUCCUACGGGAGGCAGCAGUAGGGAAUCUUCCGCAAUGGACAAAAGUCUGACGGASCAACGCCGCGUGAGUGAUGAAGGUUUUCGRAUCGUAAAGCUCUGUUGUUAGGGAANAACAAGUACAARAGUAACUGCUUGUACCUUGACGGUACCUAACCARAAAGCCACGGCUAACUACKUGCCAGCAGCCGCGGUAAUACGUAGGUGGCAAGCGUUGUCCGGAAUUAUUGGGCGUAAAGCGCGCGCAGGCGGUCCUUUAAGUCUGAUGUGAAAGCCCACGGCUCAACCGUGRAGGGUCAUUGRAAACUGGGGRACUUGAGUGCARAARAGAARAGUGGAAUUCCACGUGUAGCGGUGAAAUGCGUARAGAUGUGGAGGAACACCAGUGGCGAAGGCGACUCUUUGGUCUGUAACUGACGCUGAGGCGCGAAAGCGUGGGGAGCAAACAGGAUUAGAUACCCUGGUAGUCCACGCCGUAAACGAUGAGUGCUAAGUGUUAGAGGGUUUCCGCCCUUUAKUGCUGCAGCAAACGCAUUAAGCACUCCCCCUGGGGAGUACGGCCGCAAGGCUGAAACUCAAAGGAAUUGACGGGG
rnacentral:rRNA from 1 species